rnacentral:rRNA from 1 species
AUACGGAGGGUGCAAGCGUUAAUCGGAAUUACUGGGCGUAAAGCGUACGUAGGCGGUUUGCUAAGUCAGAUGUGAAAGCCCCGGGCUUAACCUGGGAACUGCAUUUGAUACUGGCAGACUAGAGUAUGAUAGAGGGGGGUAGAAUUCCUGGUGUAGCGGUGAAAUGCGUAGAUAUCAGGAGGAAUACCAGUGGCGAAGGCGGCCCCCUGGAUCAAUACUGACGCUGAGGUACGAAAGCGUGGGGAGCGAACAGGAUUAGAAACCCCAGUAGUCC